rnacentral:misc_RNA from 1 species
CCGAGUUUACAAACUCCCAACCCUUUGUGAACCUUACCAUAUUGUUGCUUCGGCGGGACCGCCCCGGCGCCUUCGGGCCCGGAACCAGGCGCCCGCCGGAGGCCCCAAACUCUUAUGUCUUUAGUGGUUUUCUCCUCUGAGUGACACAUAAACAAAUAAAUAA